UUAUAUAUACCGUUUCUUUCCCACGAAAAUCUUUUAGCUACGCAUUUGAUGGGAACACUCUCACUAUAAUGCACUAAAUUGUAGCGAUUUUUUUUUAAGCCAUGCGUUUACUUGCAUUUGCUGCCAGUUGCCUUACGUCUGUCUCGUCGCUACUUUGGCGUUCAAUCUAAAGCCGUCCUUUUGUUUCAACUGAUCUAAAUUAAUGACAUUAUUUCUAGUAUCAAACAUGUUUUGUUCUGAUUUGUUUAUUUCAUGUUCAGGCCGAUAUCUGGCUUUUGGCAUUGCAACGUCUUUCGAUGAUGAGAAUUUACACAGACCUGUUCUGAAUACCUGAUUGUACUUUAAUAUUUCUGAUGAGAGACUUGCAGAAAAAAAAUAUUUAACCAAAAAUCUGUUUCGAAAUGCUUUUUUCGCAGAACACGUGUCCGCAACUAACUAGGUCACAUGAGAACGUACGUGAUAUAAUGGUUGGCUAGCUACCGGGGUUGUAACUACAAUUGGUGUUGACUUUAUAUUAUUUUCUCCUUUCAAGAUGCCGACGACUCGAAUGUGCUGCUCUGAAAUGCAGGACAGAUGCCAGGGAAGUCCAGAAGACUGACAGGUCUGCAUUACUUGUGACAUGACUUCCUGACUUCAAGGCAUCUGAACAGAUUCUCCACUUGGAGUUCCAUUCUGGAAUAGGAAUGUGUGCUGAAUACCUGAUUCCAGACCACGGGACUGAUGCGCUUUGUGAAAAUCCAGACGUGGGGAUGAAGUUUCCUGAAGGGAUUAACACUACCUUACCUGUUUGAGUGCUGUGGUCAGUGGAAUUGCAGCGUGGACUCCAACAUACUGUUGACUGUCCUGACACAAGAUGGCUGCUCUAAGCUAUGCAGGUUCUUGUGUAUGUGGCUGAACAAGGAGCCGUGAUGUCAACUAGACUGGUCCUGAUGGUCCUGGUGGUGGUACCAGACUGGUCACUAGAAGAUGCCUGUUACUGAACUACCACAAGUUGAUGUCCUUGUGGGUCUGCAGUCUUCAGGAAGGUCCUAACUGUUCCAGCCUGGCCACUGGAGAACUGUUGCUGCACUGCCUCAAGGUUUCUGCCCCCCUGGUUGAGGUCCGAGUGUCUGCCGUGUUUGGAAAGGUGUGACUUUUGACAGCAUUGUAACGCUCCACAUUAAGCAUUCUGGAAUGUUGUAAAUGAUGAACCUUACUUAACCAUUCCAGUCUGGUGGCAAUCCUGUCCUGUGCUCUGGGCUGGAUAAAGGUCUGGCCUCCCAUCGGCCCUCCUGUGGGUUGGGCAGACACUGACAAACCUGCUUUUGUAGAGGGGGCAGGGGUAAGGUGGGCUGCCUGCCUGGAGGGAGGGUGACUGGGUGGGGGCUUGAUCCCAGACCCUGGACUGCUGGCUGGAUGGCUGCAAUGACUGAACUAAAAUCCUGAUCUGGUUUCAGAAUGCUCUGAAUGUAGUCUAGUAAAAUAAGAUUGGAAUUAUUUGGUUUUAAAACUGUUCUGUCUUUUUAGAGCUCGUUGGCUGCUGAAGUGUUGCUGUGCUGGUGGAGCGGGAAGAUGCCGACGACUCGAAUGUGCUGCUCUGCAAUGCAGGACAGAUGCCAGGGAAGUCCAGAAGACUGACACGCGAGUGCAUUGACUUACCACCAGGAACAUUAGAUGUGUUCAGCUUGUCAGCCCUAAGCCUUAAAGGUCUGCAUUACUUGUGACACGACUUCCUGACUUCAAGGCAUCUGAACAGAUUCUCCACUUGGAGUUCCAUUCUGGAAUAGGAAUGUGUGCUGCAUACCUGAUUCCAGACCACGAGACUGAUGCGCUUUGUGAAAAUCCAGGGUUUGAGUGCUGUGGUCAGUGGAAUUGCAGCGUGGACGCCAACAUACUGUUGACUGUCCUGACACAAGAUGGCUGUUCUGGGCUGCUCUAAGCUAUGCAGGUUCUUGUGUAUGUGGCUGAACAAGGAGCCGUGAUGCCAACUAGACUGGUCCUGAUGGUCCUGGUGGUGGUACCAGACUGGUCACUAGAAGAUGCCUGUUACUGAACUACCACAAGUUGAUGUCCUUGUGGGUCUGCAGUCUUCAGGAAGGUCCUAACUGUUCCAGCCUGGCCACUGGAGAACUGUUGCUGCACUACCUCAAGGUUUCUGCCCCCCUGGUUGAGGUCCGAGUGUCUGCCGUGUUUGGAAAGGUGUGACUUUUGACAGCAUUGUAACGCUCCACAUUAAGCAUUCUGGAAUGUUGUAAAUGAUGAACCUUACUUAACCAUUCCAGUCUGGUGGCAAUCCUGUCCUGUGCUCUGGGCUGGAUAAAGGUCUGGCCUCCCAUCGGCCCUCCUGUGGGUUGGGCAGACACUGACAAGCCUGCUUUUGUAGAGGGGGCAGGGGUAAGGUGGGCUGCCUGCCUGGAGGGAGGGUGACUGGGUGGGGGCUUGAUCCCAGACCCUGGACUGCUGGCUGGAUGGCUGCAAUGACUGAACUAAAAUCCUGAUCUGGUUUCAGAAUGCUCUGAAUGGAGUCUAGUAAAAUAAGAUUGGAAUUAUUUGGUUUUAAAACUGUUCUGUCUUUUUAGAGCUCGUUGGCUGCUGAAGUGUUGCUGUGCUGGUGGAGCGGGAAGGUGUGUAGUGGGAAUGACUUACGGUUCCAGUAUUAUAAUACACUGAGUAUAGAGGACAUUAAACCUUCCUAAUAUUGAGUUUGCCCUCAGAACAGCCUCAGUUGUCUACAAGGUGUCAAAGGUCGGCAUUGGAGUCAAGUUAGCUGGAUGUCCUUUGGGUGGUGGACCAGUGUUGAUACACAUAAGAGACUGUUGCUCUUGACAAACCCAGAAGUGUUUCAUUUGAGCUAAACCGGUCCACCUGGCACCUACCAUGCCUCAUUCAAAGGAACUUAAGUCUUUGUCUUGCCCAUUUACACUCUGGGUGGUACACAUACACAAUCCAUGUCUUGUUGUUUAAAUACCCUUUUAACCUGUCUGCAUCUACACUAAUUUAACAAGUGAUGUCAAUAAGGGCUGGCUUUCACCUGGUCAGGUUAAUGUAUUGUCCACUUGGUGUAUAUGUAUUAUAAUGGAAAAGGGGGGCAGAUCAAUAUUAGGAAGAAGUUGUUAAUGUACUGUUGAAUGUUCCUCUUGGAUCAUCACACUGACCCAAGCAGUUUUUAUAAACUACAUACUCUGAUGUGAUGAGUCAUCAUUACCGCCCCAGUCUGAUGUAACGCUGACUGAUUGGUUACUCUCUGAUCAAGUCAUCUCAGACCUUGUGUAUUAGUCCCUACAGUAUCACCAGGGUUUAAUUCUCACUAUUUUCCCUCUAGUUCUCCUACACUGACUAGCCCUCUUGUACUCCUGUUUGGUCAGGAAGGUAGUGGGGCGUCUCGUUGGAACUGGGGAAAACCAGACCAAGUCAAUUCAACCCUGGGAUGUUUUUGAUGUAUAAAUAAAUCUACAAAUGAA